rnacentral:lncRNA from 1 species
AAAAAAAAAAAAAAAAAAAACAAUGAUAGUCAUCCUUAAGGUACGGAAAUUAUCUUGAUCAUUCAACGAUAUAAUUACACUUGAAAUGAUUCUCUUUGUCAGUAAUUUUACUAGUGGUUGGUAAUAAAAUAAGUGAAAUGAAAUCCCCACACCUAAAAUUAUAAUCCACAUAUUCAUUUUUUAAUUUUAGUAACUUAUAUUUUGUCCAUAGUGAUUUAAAUCUUGUCUGCAUAUGAAAAUGCUUACUAAAAAUGGAAAAUGAAUGUGUGGAUUACAAUUUAGGGUGUGCGGAUUUCAUAUCCCUCCCUAAAAUAACUCAAUUCAAAAAUAUGAAAAAUAAUAUUUAAGAUACCAGUCUGUCUCUGCUACGGACGUCCGCAUCGUUUUACGGUGCAGAUUUUUGUCCAUUCGCCACCGUACGACGUCGCGCGAGGGCGUGCCUCCACCUCAGCCGACUCCAGCAGCUUCACUUGGGUGAUAUGGCCGGAAAACUGGAAUUCGGCGGACUCGUUGGGGAUGGAAAGUGGUCGGGGAAGCUGCUGGAGUCGGCUGGGGUGGAGGCAUGCCCUUGCGCGGCGUCGUACGGUGACGAACGGACGAAAAUCCGCAUCGUAAACGGUGCGGACGUCCGCAGCUGAGAAAAAUUCUUUAAGAUACAAGGCCACGAGACGUUAACAAAAGUAAGUUUUUGAAACAACACACUAGGGUACGUAUGCGUCUCUCCCAAUCCCUGCUCUCGAAGUCUAGGAUUUGCAAAUUCACCCUCGUCUGACGCUCUACGUCAAUGUAGGCCUAACCUCGUCGUUGUUAUGGUGCUGCAGCCUGGGUGAAUGUUGAUCCAAUAAAGUGCGGGUGCUCUGAGACGAGUUUCGCUCGAAGUUCAUUUCCAGACAAGUUUUGGCUUGGUUUUCUCGCUUCUAGCACUAGUUAUUUUUUUGCUCCUCAGCCGACGUGGUGUGGUUUUGAGUCGAUUUAGCUGGCAAUACGACGCGACGGUUGGGAGCUAGGUAAUGUGGUGAAAGUGGCAGCGGCUUGGAUCAAUGCGGCUUGGGUUGAGGCAAGACGGGGGGUAGCAGCACCAGUUCUGGCAGUGUACAACUUGUUAUAUGUACGUGACAGGUUGCAAUUGGGCUGCCAUGUUGGGCUUGAAUUGGACUUGCCUUUUGGCACAAUCCCAUGCUUUCAGCUUUUAACAAUAAACUCUGGUUGUUAGGAACCUAGAAUUUCUAGGCCUCUAGCUUUGUCCCGCUAUCUCUACGUAUUUGAUUGUGUAAUGAGAUUUUCUAUUUAUUUGUACCAAUGUUAUAUACUACGGAAAAUUCUGCUGCAUACCUUGUAAAUUUCAUGACUAAAAAUUCAACCAAACCACAACCCCCUGUUGGACAUCCUCUUUUAGUCAUAAAACAUGCUAUACCGUUCAGUUUCGGUAUAGCAGACAAACCCUAUAUACUGCUACUAUUUUGUUGUAAUGAUCUAUGGCGACUUGUGAUGCACUAUAUUGACACCCGUUUGAG